AUUUCCCUUUUCUCCACCCUUCCUUUAAGACGCCGAUAAGGGACAAGUCGUACUAAUGUGUGUGAGGUUUCACCCCCUCCCCCCGCCCUGCUUGAGAAGGAUCUUUUCUCUCUGGGGUCGAUCGCCUUCCAAUGGGCCGACUUUCACGCCAGCUGCGAGGACCCUGGACUGGGCCUUUCCCAAUUGUAGGACACUGAUUUACCGAAGAAUGACCGCAGCCUUUCCUUCCCCAAACGCUCGCCCCGAAGGGAAACAAAAGGAGCUAGGUGCUUCUUUUGUUUCUGAAAUUCGGGAAAAGCCAGACCUCAACGACUGGGCACUUUAAAAUGUUCCUGUAUCUGUGACAAAAUUGUAUCGUCACACAUUUCAUUCGUUUCUUCCCCUACAGGUCGGGACGUUUCCAAAUUUCAUUUUGAACACUGGGGCACAGCUCACUGCAUUUUUGUUGAGAGCAUCUCUGGGUUAGAUUCUUAGACCCAUAAGUAUCUUACCAUAACUUCAUCAAACCUGUUAAAUAUUAAAACAGGAUGAAGCAAAAACAGUUAGGAAUGCCUUAAUGGGCAACAUAAGAUAACUGAGAUGGUGCAUACCUAGAUUUCAAUCAUAGCAGAGCCUGGUGACCUAUAAUCAGGCCGGGAACCCUAAUCAAGCCCUUAUUACUGAUCCAAAUUGAAAAGUAUCAGGAAUUUCGUAAGAUUAAAAUGUCUUCCUGAAAACAAAUACCAGUGAUGACAAAUAUUUGUGUUUCUUACGAAGGUACAUGUUCCAAGAUGCUUUCCUCCAAGAAAGAAAAGAAACUGACCUUGCAUUUAGGGUACUUUAAUCAUUUCCCUCAAAUUCUGACCUCCAAGCUGUUUUAUAAGCUGCUUAAUUUAAAAAAAAAAAAUGUUUAUCUGAUUUCUGCAUUGUUGUUUGAGGAAAUUUUUUAGAAGGCCCUUCAUUAAAAAUGUUCUCUAUGAGUUAAGUCAUUAUAUUUUGUUCAAAUUGAGGAGAUGGUGUUUAAUGAUGGAUCUUUUCCUAGGGGCAAUUUUUUAUUUAAAUUAUUUUCUAGAACUCUCAGUAUUCCAUUUAUUUCAGCAAUCGUAAUUAGCUAGUAAUACAAAUUAAAAAUUGUAUUUUAAGAAGCAAAUUUUGGGGUACAUUUUUAGGGUGCCUUGUGAAAGUUACCUCAUUUUUCUCCCCACAGCUUCCCUGGGCACAUAGGCAAUUGCUUUUAUCUUCAUAGGGUGACUGAGCUGAGAGGCAAAGGACCAUGAUUUUGCACCACAAACGUAAUUAAUGCACGUGGGAUAGUCCUAGUCUGCAUAAUCUUGGCAAGACCACAGUUGAUGGGUGUAGUCUACCCUAUUUGGAUUAGCAAAUCCUGCUAAAUUGUUAACUUGCAGUUGAAGAAUUUGGCUCCAGCCUGAUUAUACUAACAGUUUUUAAGAGGUAGGUUUUGCUGCUGUAUCUGAAAAGGGUCAGAGUUACCGGGGCUAUAUAUGAUCUGACCACUUUGGGUGCAUAGAAGGGUCUCCUGGCUCUGACAGCUGCCCUAUGGUCUGAGGAUACUUGAGGAGCUUGGUCCUUGAAAUGGAUCCUUAGGAGGGAGGCAUCACUGAUACCUGAGGAUAAUAUUGAAGCUAAAUUUGAUGUCAGUAGAAUACAGUAAUGAAGUCACAGAAUUACCCAAGGAUAGUGCAGUGACUUUUUUCAUAGGGUCCUUGCACCAGAUAUUUUUCCAUUUUCCAGGCUGUUUAAUCCUUGGAGAUAAUACUUCAUCCUACUUUUUAACCACAAGCUAAAAGAAAUCAGUCACCUGUUGAGUUUGCGAGGUGUUUGUUUUUGCAAGUUGUUUUAAAUAGAUGUUGUAUGGGGCACUUGGGUGGCUCAGUUUGUUAUGCAUCCAACUUCUGAUAGCUCAGGCCAUGAUCUCAGGGUUGUGAGAUGGAGCCCCAUGUUGGGGGGUCUGAGCUCAGCAUGGAGUCUGCUUGUCCCUCUCCCUCUACUUCUCCCCACCCCCCCUUUCUCUCUCUCAAAUAAAUAAAAUCUUUAAAAUAAAUAGACAAGUACUAUGCCUUACAGGCCAACCAACAGUAAAGAUAAUAUAAUUCACAAAGAACUGCAUUCUAGAUGCUUGAAACGAAUAUUCCUUGAGCAAAAACAUUUCAUUCCCUUUCAUUAAUUACCUCUCUUUUUCUUAUCCUUAGACACUUAUCAACGGAAGGUUUCUUGCAGAUUCUAUGCUUCCCAGGAGACAUGGAUGAUGUCAUAAGCUAUCAGACAGAUCGCCUUUUCUACAUCAUCCACUAAGUCAUGACUUAACAAAUUCAGACCUGCAAUUGUCCUAGAUGCACCCAGCUAUAUCCCUAGCACUAUUAAUUUUUAGGGAUGAAGCUUGUGAACUUGCAUCAUACUUGAGAAACUGGAGACCAUCUGCAGAGAAUGCCUCAACUUCAGAAGAUCAUUUCUGUGAUCACUUGCUCUUGCAUCUUUCUUGUUUCAAUGGAAGAGAACUCCUAUCAGAAAGAACUCCACCCCUUGUACUCUGGAUCUCAUCCUUCUCUCCUGCUCAAGGACUUGAUUCUUCAAUCAAUGCUUGUGAAGUUUCUUAGAUCUUUUUUUUUUUUUUUUAAAGUUUUAAGUAUGUUCCAUGCCCAACAUAGCACUUGAACUCAUUCAUGACCCCGAGAUCAAGGGUCACAUGCUCUACUGCCCGUGAAAUUUCUUAAUUGAAAAAAAAAGGCUUAAUAUUUUAUUUUGCUAUAUUCAUACAAAUAAAAUUUUUAAAAAAUUACCUUUUAUGUUGAAACAGAUAUUAGGGGUUUUUUUUUAAACUAUUUAAAAUGUUGCAGUAUUGAUACCUAAAACCUUGGGAGACAGUGGAAAGAUAAUCUUAUGUGAAGCCACAGCUUAAAAAA